CGAUCCCCUAUGUCAUUUCGAGCGCGCAACCCAGGAGGCGACUGUGAGGGAUAGCCAUGGCGAUUUGGAGAUCCCCCUCGGUGCUCGUUGUUUGGUGGUGAUUCGUCCCCGCUCCCGCUCCUGUUGCCUCGCUUCGUCCGCCUCGUCGUCGUUUCGCCAGCCGAAGGCCUGAAACAUCUCUCCGCCCCGCAUCCACCCCGCCCCCGCCCCGCAUCCGCUCGUCGAUUUUGUUCGAUUCGGUUAUAGAUUAAAGUACGGGGAGACUCGUGAAGGCUUUUGGUAAGGGCACUUCUGCUGCUUGUGUUGAAGAUUCUGAUGAUUCAGAUGGAGAUCCUUUUGUCCCCAAUGAUUUUGCGGAGGAUGAUCCUUUUCAAGCUUCAGAGGAAGGAAUGGAUGAUCGUGAUUUCGACAAAGCUUUGUAUGAGUUCUACGUGUCUCAUAAAGAGAAUUGCUUAAAACGGAAGAUUACAAAUGUUGGAGCUCGCAAUGUGAAGCGCAAGAGGUCUUCUGAUUUUCCUAUAGCAAAUACAUUCACUAGAUACUCUGGCAAGCUGUUCUCCACUGUUAUUGGUGGCUUGUCUCCUAGGCAAGUUCGUGUUCUUCAGAAUUACAGGGCAGAUUGCCUUCUGAAAUUUGUAGUAAAUCUUAGCGGUUUUACAUAGCAAAUGCUAAUUGGUUUUACAUAGUAAAUUUUAGCGGUUUUACAUAGCAAAUGCUAAUUGGUUUUACAUAGUAAAUUUUAGCGGUUUUACAUAGUAAUUUACACAGUUGUUUACACUGUAAUUUUAGUACUUUCUUACUGGAUUUUACUGUUUUUGUAAGCGGGUUUUUCAGUGUAUUUUUUUUUGUCAUUUUAAUGAUUUCUGUAGUGUCAAUCUUAGUGAACUUUGCAGUGUAAAUUUACUGGAUUUUAAUCUACAUUUUCUUAGUGGUAUUGUUAGUG
rnacentral:rRNA from 1 species